UCUUCUUGUAUUAAUUGGAGGUCGGGCCUGUACACUGAUUAAAUUGAAGGUCCGCAGUAUUUUGACCGUGUAAAGGAAGCAUAAUAAUUAGUCUUUUAAUUGGAGGCUGGAAUGAAUGGUUUAACGAAACAAUAACUGUCUUUAAUAUAAAUGAAUUGAAUUUCUCUUUUGAGUUAAAAGGAUUAAAUAGUGAUAAGGGAUAAAAAGACACUAUAGAUCUUCACAAUGUAUUUUGUGUUAUUAAUUUUGGGUGUAUAAUUUUAUUUAAUAAUUUAUAUCAUUUUAUUGCGGUGAUGUGAGAAUAUUAUAACUUCUUAAUUUAAAAUUUUUGUAGGUGAACAUUAAAUCCUUUAGUAUUGAAUGAAGUUUAAGAUACCUUAGGGAUAACAGCAUAAUCUUGUUGGAGAGUUCUUAUUGAUAAUAAGGAUUGCUACCUCAAUAUAGGAUUAGGAAUAUAUAUUGUUGUAGAUGCUAUAUUAUUAGUCUCUUC
rnacentral:rRNA from 1 species